GACGAACGCUGGCGGCGUGCUUAACACAUGCAAGUCGAACGGAAAGGCCCUGCUUUUGUGGGGUGCUCGAGUGGCGAACGGGUGAGUAACACGAGAGUAACCUGCCCUUGACUUUGGGAUAACUUCAGGAAACUGGGGCUAAUACCGGAUAGGAGCACCAGCUGCAUGGUGGGGGUUGGGAGGUUUCGGCGGUCGGGGAUGGACUCGCGGCUUAUCAGCUUGUUGGUGGGGGAGUGGCUUACCAAGGCUUUGACGGGUAGCCGGCCUGAUAGGGUGACCGGCCACAUUGGGACUGAGAUACGGCCCAGACUCCUACGGGAGGCAGCAGUGGGGAAUAUUGCACAAUGGGCGGAAGCCUGAUGCAGCAACGCCGCGUGCUGGAUGACGGCCUUCGUGUUGUAAACCGCGUUCGCCUGUGACGAAGCGUGAGUGACGGUAAUGGGUAAAGAAGCACCGGCUAACUACGUG
rnacentral:rRNA from 1 species